GAAUAGCUCAGUCGGUAGAGCUUGAGACUCUUAAUCUCAGGGUCAUGGGUUCAAGUUCCGUGUGGGGCA